rnacentral:rRNA from 1 species
CUAUGCCUACGGGGGGCAGCAGUGGGGAAUAUUGCACAAUGGGGGAAACCCUGAUGCAGCAACGCCGCGUGAGUGAAGAAGGUUUUCGGAUUGUAAAGCUCUGUUAGCAGGGAAGAGGAAGGACAGUACCUGCAGAGGAAGCCACGGCUAACUACGUGCCAGCAGCCGCGGUAAUACGUAGGUGGCAAGCGUUGUUCGGCAUAACUGGGCGUAAAGGAUGCGUAGGCGGUUAAACAAGUUAUAUGUUAAAUAUAUAGUCUUAACCUGUAGAAAGCAUUUCAACUGUUUAACU